UACGUAGGGUGCGAGCGUUGUCCGGAAUUAUUGGGCGUAAAGGGCUCGUAGGCGGUUUGUCACGUCAGGAGUGAAAACUCGGGGCUCAACCCCGAGCCUGCUUCUGAUACGGGCAGACUGGAGGUAUGCAGGGGAGAACGGAAUUCCUGGUGUAGCGGUGAAAUGCGCAGAUAUCAGGAGGAACACCGGUGGCGAAGGCGGGUCUCUGGGCCGAAAUUGACGCUGAGGAGCGAAAGCGUGGGGAGCAAACAGG
rnacentral:rRNA from 1 species